UACGUAGGGUCCGAGCGUUGUCCGGAGUUACUGGGCGUAAAGCGCGCGCAGGCGGCGGUGUUGGCCCGGCGUGAAAGCCCCCGGCUCAACCGGGGAGAGUCGUCGGGGACCGCACCGCUUGAGGGCGGUAGGGGCUGGUGGAAUGCCUGGUGUAGUGGUGAAAUGCGUAGAGAUCAGGCAGAACACCUGGGGCGAAGGCGGCCAGCUGGGCCGUCCCUGACGCUGAGGCGGCGAAGGCGUGGGGAGCGAACGGGG
rnacentral:rRNA from 1 species